UAAGGUAGCAGCAACCAUUUCUGAUGAAGGGCAUUGUUUAUUUCAUGAUGUGUUUGAACUGGGGUGUCCUUUCGCGCACGUUCCGCCCAAUAGUGUCCCAUAUAUGCUCGAUAUGGUUCAAAUCCGGGCUACGAUUCGUCCAAGGAAGAUGAACCGAAUUCCAUUGAAACAAUGGAUCUUCCUCCACGAUGCCAAUUUUCAACUUUAGCGAGCUCUGCACUACAUUGGAUACGGAAAACUGUGUGUCUGUUCGUAAGCAAAGGUC
rnacentral:lncRNA from 1 species